rnacentral:rRNA from 1 species
AUGAACGCUGGCGGCGUGCUUAACACAUGCAAGUCGAACGCGAAAGGGACUUCGGUCCUGAGUAAAGUGGCGCACGGGUGAGUAACGCGUAGAUAACCUGUCUUCAUGUCUGGAAUAAUACGCCGAAAGGGGUACUAAUACCGGAUAUUCUUGCUUUUCAUAAGUUAUGCAAGCAAAGGUGGCCUCUGCAUAUGCUACUGCAUGAAGAGGGGUCUGCGUACCAUUAGCUAGUAGGUGGGGUAAUGGCCUACCUAGGCGACGAUGGUUAGCGGGUCUGAGAGGAUGAUCCGCCACACUGGCACUGGAACACGGGCCAGACUCCUACGGGAGGCAGCAGUGAGGAAUAUUGCGCAAUGGGGGAAACCCUGACGCAGCGACGCCGCGUGAGUGAGGAAGGCCUUCGGGUCGUAAAGCUCUGUCAAGAGGAAAGAAGUGUACAAUGGCUAAUACCUGUUGUAUUUGACGGUACCUCUAAAGGAAGCACCGGCUAACUCCGUGCCAGCCGCUGC